GAGCCUUCAUCCAAAAACUGAUGGAACCAGAUAUAGAGAUCCACAACCAAGCACCAGAUGGAGCUCUGGGAAUCCAGUCGAAGAGAGGGAGAAUGGAAUAUAUAAGCAAGAGCGGUCAAGAUCACAGUGGAGAAAUCUACAGAGAAAACUGAGCCAAGCUCAUGGAAAGUCAUGAACUCUCUACCAACAGCUGUGGAGCCUCCAUGAGACCCUCCACAUAUGGAAGACAGUGGGGAAGCUUGAAUUAUCAGUGGGAACCCUGGCAGUAGGACCAGAAUCUAUCCCUGGACCCUUUCAGAUCAUCCUAGAAAAGUCUGAGAUAGAGACGAGGAUGAAAUCAAAGAGAACCAUUUGAGAAACACUCACAGCUGCAUCUCUUCCAGAGCUGACCGAUUGGCACUGGACAACCAGUUGGCGUGUUCUUCCCUAGAGAAGGCCACAUCUCUUGUUCCCAGAUUUCCUCAGUUGCCUGUAACCCCUUGUGUAGGCCUGAGGCCUCAUGGACUUUUGUCUAUCCAGUUCGAAACGGAAACAGGAAUGAAAGACUUUUAUCACACUAAAUUCCCUGGAAGAAAUCAGACACAUUGGCACCUGUAAUAACAGCACUGGGGAAGCAGACAGAGGAUUACAAUGACUUUCAGGCUAACCUGGGCUACUGUAGAAAUCCUGUCUCAGAAGUCAAAAGAGAGAGAGAGA